CCUACGGGAGGCAGCAGUGGGGAAUUUUGGACAAUGGGCGCAAGCCUGAUCCAGCAAUGCCGCGUGAGUGAAGAAGGCCUUCGGGUUGUAAAGCUCUUUUGUCAGGGAAGAAACGGUGGGAGCUAAUAUCUCCCGCUAAUGACGGUACCUGAAGAAUAAGCACCGGCUAACUACGUGCCAGCAGCCGCGGUAAUACGUAGGGUGCAAGCGUUAAUCGGAAUUACUGGGCGUAAAGCGUGCGCAGGCGGUUUUGUAAGUCUGUCGUGAAAGCCCCGGGCUCAACCUGGGAAUUGCGAUGGAGACUGCAAGGCUUGAAUCUGGCAGAGGGGGGUAGAAUUCCACGUGUAGCAGUGAAAUGCGUAGAGAUGUGGAGGAACACCGAUGGCGAAGGCAGCCCCCUGGGUCAAGAUUGACGCUCAUGCACGAAAGCGUGGGGAGCAAACAGGAUUAGAUACCCUGGUAGUCCACGCCCUAAACGAUGUCUACUAGUUGUCGGGUUUUAAUUAACUUGGUAACGCAGCUAACGCGUGAAGUAGACCGCCUGGGGAGUACGGUCGCAAGAUUAAAACUCAAAUGAAUUGACGG
rnacentral:rRNA from 1 species